rnacentral:rRNA from 1 species
AGGGUUUGAUCCUGGCUCAGAACGAACGUUGGCGGCGUGGAUUAGGCAUGCAAGUCGCACGAGAAAAGCUCCUUCGGGGGCUGAGUAAAGUGGCGGACGGGUGAGUAAUGCAUAGAUAACCUACCCCUGCGAUGGGAACAACACUUCGAAAGGAGUGCUAAUACCCAAUAUUGUCAUUUGCCCGCGGGCUAAUGAUGAAAGGAGGCCUCUGUUUCAAGCUUCCGCUCAGGGAGGGGUCUAUGUCCUAUUAGCUUGUUGGUGAGGUAAAAGCUCACCAAGGCUUCGAUGGGUAGCCGGCCUGAGAGGGUGAUCGGCCACAUUGGGACUGAGACACUGCCCAGACUCCUACGGGAGGCUGCAGUCGAGAAUCUUCCGCAAUGCGCGCAAGCGUGACGGAGCGACGCCGCGUGGGUGAUGAAGGCCUUCGGGUUGUAAAGCCCUGUCAGCUGCCAAGAAAGGCGGGUCGUGAAUAGCGAUCCCGUUUGACCUAAGCAGCAGAGGAAGGCACCGGCUAAAUACGUGCCAGCAGCCGCGGCAAUACGUAUGG